rnacentral:lncRNA from 1 species
UGUAUCUUUUCUAACUUAAUGUGCAUUCUUCUAGAAUCAGAGGAAAAAAACCGUAAUCUUAUAAGGUUAUUUGGAAGAGGAAGAAGAGAUGUAAGAAAAUGAGGAAAUUUUCACAGAUGAACCCAGAGCUGAGCCAAACCUUGAAGGGUAAAAGGACUGUGACAUGGAGGUGAUGGGAGGAACCAUGGGACAGAGGAGGACACGUGCAUGGAGCCGGGCAGUGUGUACAUGUAGGAAGAACACGGGCUCUACAGUUUGAAUCCAGAGGCUUUGCUGCUCACUGGCCAUGAAAUCUGAGGCAAGCCUUUGCCUUAGAGGAGUUUCUAUUUCCUUAUCCAUCAAGUGGGGGGGAAAGGAAGAAACCUCACAAUGACAGUAGGAGUGGGAGAACUGUGGGGAAUAGUCCUUUCAGCCCAGUGCUUGGUCCUCAACGAGUAGACAGAGGAGGACUCAAAUGCCGCCAGCACUCACUUAAGACCUAGCAGUGAAUGAAAGGGAAGAAGGACUUUGGGAAGAGAAGGUUAGGCCUUCUCCGUUUCUAUGGUCCAUUCUUCCUGCCAGACAGGGUUGUCACUGUCCUGAAACUUAACCCUUCACCCUCAACACUCUGUUCAAUUGGUGCUACUGGGUCCCAAGGCUGAAUCUCCAAGGGAGAAAAGGCAGGGCUUUUAUUUUCAUUGUCCAAGUGAGAAAACUGAGUCUCAAAGAGGUGAAGUAAUGUGCCCAAGAUCACAGGGCUGGUGAGUAGCAAUCAAGGUCACAACCAGAGGCCUCCUGGUUCCAAGUCUGGCUUGUCACUUCCACACCUCUUUCCACACCUGCCUCUUCCAGGAAACCCAGGGGCACCUGUGCCCCUGAUCCCAACUCCUGGAAAGGUCCAGGAACUAUACAGCAGGUCAGACCGUAGGGCAGCCCUGAGGAGAACCUUUCUUCUUACCUUCUGAGGAAUCAGGGACCUGGGCAGGCGGCCUUCUCACCAGCCACUCAAGACAACAGGUUCUGAGGCAGGCCCAGGGCAAGGAGCACCCAGGCCUCCUGAGGGGGCACAGACAGACCUAAUGUGUGUCAUAUGUGGAAGCCUCAGUAGGUGGUGGCAGGGGCCUCAGGGAUCCUCAGUGAGACUCUGUGUGCUGUUCCUCAUCUGGAGGUGAGACUCUCCUCCCCACUCCAGUACUUUCCUCCAGGCCCUGCUUCCUGCUGGGUCCUUGGGGACAUUUAAAAUCAUUCUACUGUGGAUAUUUCUGAUUCUAUUCUUUAUUUCCUGGGAAAGAAUUCCACCUGAGUGUAUCUGCCAAUAUUGACUUUUUAUUAAAAUGUUUUC